GUGGCGGACGGGUGAGUAACGCGUAAAGAACUUGCCUUACAGACUGGGACAACAUUUGGAAACGAAUGCUAAUACCGCGAUAUUAUGAUUGGGUCGCAUGAUCUGAUUAUGAAAGCUAUAUGCGCUGUGAGAGAGCUUUGCCUCCCAUUAGUUAGUUGGUGAGGUAACGGCUCACCAAGACGAUGAUGGGUAGCCGGCCUGAGAGGGUGAACGGCCACAAGGGGACUGAGACACGGCCCUUACUCCUACGGGAGGCAGCAGUGGGGAAUAUUGGACAAAGGACCAAAAGUCUGAUCCAGCAAUUCUGUGUGCACGAAGAAGUUUUUCGGCAAUGUAAACGUGCUUUCACGUUGGGAAGAAGUCCGUGACGGUACCAACAGAAGAAGCGACGGCUAAGUACGUGCCAGCAGCCGCGGUAAUACGUAUGUCGCAAGCGUU
rnacentral:rRNA from 1 species